CUGUGCCUCAUUUGGAGAAAUCUGGUAUGCGUUGGUGAGGACCUCAACAGGCAUUGCUCUAAUCACUGAUGUGUAACCAGCAAGCUGGCUGUUCAUAGGUUCACUGCUUGUCCUCCACACCACAAAUUCAAGUCCAUUCUGUCCUGCUCUCACUGUUGAGGCGAAGUACUGAGGAACCACAAACAUUUCUCCUUGGUUCACUCUGUCGUUCAUCACUUGUUGUCCGCUGUGGUCUACUACUUGCACUUGUGCCUCUCCUCUUUGCACGUACACCACGCAGUGGCCGUUCACUGACCAAUGUGGGCUCAACAAUGCAUUCUGCAUCCACCAAUUUUAAUCUAUUACUAAUAUUCUCCCUGGUUCACUCUGUCGUUCAUCACUUGUUGUCCGGUGUGGUCUACUACUUGCACUUGUGCCUCUCCUCUUUGCACGUACACCACGCAGUGGCCGUUUACUGACCAAUGUGGGGUCAUCAAUGCAUUCUGCAUCAACCAAAUUUUGAAUUAAGUCAUAGUACUAGCAGUUUAUUUAUUGUAUGUAAUCAACUUGAGAAAAUUAAACAAAGGUUUACCGGAUAGAGGGUGCCUUUGGAGGCACUCAUGUCCAUGUAUUUAAGGAUAGGAAGUUUCUGGCGAUUAACAUGGUUAAUUUUGCCGGCUUGCCUUGAGAAGAUGUCAGCUUGUGUUCGAUGUUCAACGUUGGUGCGGAUUUUCAUUGUACAAAUGUUUUCUUCCAAGCCAUUUCCGGUUGCUUCCUCCCACCAUUGUUGUCCUCGUCGUGGUCGCCCUUGCUCUUCUUCGAAUUCUCCUUCUUCUUCAUCGGGCCUAAUCAUUCUCAUUUCUUCCCUCACAUUGACAAUUAGGCCACGUUCGCUCUGCUCUUCUUGCAUCCUCCUUACAAUCUCGGCAGGGAUGUUGAAGGCCUCAGCCAUUAGUUCUGUAUCGAAAGCACGGAAAAUGUUCUGGAACCGCUGCCUACUCUGUAGUCUUUGGCCUGCUUGAGUUUGUUGCCUUCCACUUUCUGGUACUCCACCAGCCAAGUAGAAUGCCUGCAAUCCAAAGACAUAGCCAACCAAUAUAUACACGAAUUAUGAAAUUGCGAUGAACAAAACUCAGCAAAUUAUAUAUAGUAAAUUUUACCCUCAAGUUCUGAUCAAGUUGGUUGGAGCGAUGGUUGAGGUCGUUGACAGAGAUGGCAACAAGCUCUUCCUCACCAUCAUUAUAGCACCAAUGAGCUGCGCCAGCUGGAAGUGCCACGACAUCACCUUGACGAAUGCGGUGAACCUUCUGGUGUUGGUCACUUCUGCGGCCUUGGCCCCUCUCUUCCCAUGGCUCUCGGCCAGCCUGGAAGGUCUGGGACUGAGACUGGAAAGUCUCAGCACAGCCAGGGUAAGUAAUGCCAAUCAAUCCCUGGCCGCGCUCAAUGUAAACUAAGCGCGGCAUGGGAUGGAAAUUAGGCAGAGAAAGGGAGUUGCGGCGGAUGACACUCCUUAUGGGAGCAACUCCAGCGCUUCCCUGGCCACGCUCAAUGUAAACUAAGCGCGGCAUGGGAUGGAAAUUAGGCAGAGAAAGGGAGUUGCGGCGGAUGACACUCCUUAUGGGAGCAACUCCAGCGCACUGGAAUUGUUCCUCGUUCUCGUCCCACAGCUCAGUGACACCGCCCUCGGACUCAAUUCGGUUAGUGGGCUGAGUGGCAGUGAGCCUUGUUAAACGGCAUUGUUGAGCUUCAGUCAGACGAGUGCCUCUCUCACCCCGCUGGCCAGCUUGCCGACCCUGAAAAUCUCUGACUGCAUUUGUUGCAGACAAGAGAAAAGCAGAGAGGAGUAAAGCUAAGAGGAGUCUAGUAGUGACUGCCAUGGCUAAUUAGGAGAGAUUGUUAAUUACAAGAUGAGAAUUGGAGAGACCGAGGCCUCCUUCUUAUAGUGUUUGAGUGGAACAAGUGCGAUGGCCGUGUGGCAAUGAAGUCUGUUUUCUUUUGCAUGGUGAAGGUGUCUUCUUUUCUGCCCAAGAACGACACAUUGCAAUGGUUGUUCGAAGGAAUCAAACUACAUGCAAACUGACCUGUGUUAGUUUUUAUGUUCUUUUUCUUUUUCCUUUUUUGUUUGAUUAAAUGUUACUGUAAUUAGUUUUUGAUGCUUCAUUUUCCCUUCUUGGGAAAAAUAUGACGUAGACAUGCAAAUUCAAUUGCUUAUUUGGAUUAUUGGCUUAACGAUAUGGGAUUCAGCAUACUACUGCCGUUUUUGUUUUUGAUUAAAUGUUACUGUAACUUGUUUUUAUGCUUCAUUUUGUCUUCUUGGGAAAAAUAUGACGUGGACGUAUACGAAUUCGAUUGCUUAUUUGUACUAUAGUAGUACUUCCUAAUUUUCUCUCAUCUGUUUUGGCUUAACGAUAUGGAAUUCAAAAUACUACACCAAGGAUUAUUAAAGGUGCCAAUUUAGAGGUGUUAGUUUGUGAUGCCUAACGUCGCACUAUUGUUAAAUUGUAAUGGGCCUAAUUUGGUGUAAAGUUACCUACAUAUUUUGAAUGCGUAAUAACUUCCUGACCACAUAAACUUAUAGAUCUUUUCAAAAUUGAUACAUAAAUUUUAAAGUUUUCCAUAAUAAACACAUUUAAUCGUUGACCAUAUUUAUUUCCGCACAGAAGCGUGAAAGCCCUCUUCCCAAUGGCCAAGAGUCCAAAAUGGGUUGUAUUUAAGUGAGUUCUUAUUCAUUCCUUGUAAAAUAUAUUAUUCCUCCGUCAUACAGAAUCUGAAGCUCAUUUCUCCAUUUUUCUAAAAUCUUAAGCUCCAUUUAUUUUUUUUCUUCUUUAUACAGAUGGUAAAAAUGAUGCAAAGUCCUAUAUUUUGCCAUUGUGAAAUUGAAGUUAAGUUUUGCAUCAAUUGAAAGCCAAUAAAUCCAGGAAGAAGUUUUUAUGGGUGUUCAAAUUAUGGUCAAAAUAAUUCUUACAAUCUUUUAGGUGGUUUGACCCACCUCUUCCAAUUUACUUUUGUCAUCUCUCCCUCAACCUUUAGGUUCCUUACUCCAUGCCAGAUGCUGCUCAAUUUUCCAUGUAAAUCAGCGCGCGAAUGGCAUUGAGGACGAAUCUCCCGUCCAAAUGAAAUGUGGAAGACAGAAUAAAAAACUGAUAAUUUUCAAAAGGAUUUGUCAUUGCUCUUGUGAAAUUAUUAUGGUUAAGUGUCUUUGAUGUUUUAGCAUGGAAGCAGCCUCUCUGUCAUUUUGGGUAGGGGUAAGAUUGCCUACAUAUUACCCUCCCCAGACCCCACCUGGUGGGAGUAUACUGGGUAGUUGUUGUUGUUGUUGUUGUUGAAAUAAUGUAUAGUCGCACAUAUCUCUGUCUUAGGUUGACAAUGUGCUUCAUUAUAUUAUACGUACGACUUUAAGCUUUUUAAAGUAAACAAAUGUAUUUAGGUAUUAAAGACAGCCAAAUAUUAUGACGUGAAAAGUGAACUGUGUAAUUAAGCGCCAGCAGAGGUGGAUUCAGGAUUUGAGCCUUAUGAGUUUCAAUUUUGAGCCUUAUGAGUUUUUACUGUAAUUUCAAUUUACUUUGAUGUUUUAUUGAACAUAUAGGUUCUAAUGUAGCUAGAAGUUUACCCCUCUUCUAUUUAACGUACACAAAUAGAAGGAUAUGAAAGAAGACAAACAUUGGGUAUAGCUUCUUCCUAAUAGGUUAGCGCCUUUGUAAAGCAAAAUCAAUGAUACAAAAUGCCUACUCAUCAUUAGAACUAAGAGAUAUUUAAGCUAACAUAUUAGAAUUAUAUAUUUCGCGCUCAUGUUAGUAUGAGAAAGCUAUUAUUGGUUAGAGAGAGGUAAGAGGCAAAAUGAAUGACUUUUGGUCAAUGGAAUAAAAAGCGGGGAGGGGUUGGGGGGACAAAUUCGUUGGUCAUUUUGCUGACUGGACGGACGCAUCUGUGUAUGUGUAAUACACGCACGUAGGCUUAAUGGUCAUAUAUAUUUAUUAGUUAAGGAAUGUUAGAUCUAAUUUUAAUGAUGAAAAUAAUAUAUUUACUCUUUGUAUAAGAACUCUUGAAUAACUGUCAAAAUUGGCGAAAUCAAUCAUCAAUGAUCAAAGAACGUAUGGAUUGAUAUACAAGAUUGAUGGAAUAUAUCAGAAGACAUCUAGGAAACGAGGCGCAUUAAAAGGAACAAGCAAUCAAUCAUGAAGAUACUGACGAGAUCAAUCAAGGCUAAACUAAAGGAAUCAUAUAAAUCAAGAUCUCACUGAAUAAUUAAUCAAGUGUCUAAAUAUGGAGGAUCAAGAAUUCGGGCUGGCGAAGAACAACUUUAUUCUUGGAAAGAAUCAAUCUCUUGGGUUGGCAAAUUUUUCCAGAAUUCAAGCUUCUCUUAAAGUAUUUAAACCUGUAAUCACGCCUUAGAAAAAUAUACUUUGAUCGAACCAAACAGCCCUCUUAGAGUUAUACAACAAACAAACAUUGUAGCUCUUUAAGACUUGUUGUGUAACAAGUUAGAGAAGAAAAGAAGAACAAUACUGGUAACGCAUUAUAUUAAAAGAGACGAGUGAUAUAGGAACUGAGCUUUCUCAUUGUACUCGGAGAAACUCAUUCACUAAGGAGGACUCCCUUGCAACCCAAGGGGACUGGACUAAGAUUCACAAAUCCGAACCAGAAUAAAAAUUUUAGUUUCUUUAAUUCCUGCAUUUAAUUUCAGCAUCUUAUAUUCUGUUGUUACUACUGUCAGAUUAAUACAUCUGGUCGACUAUUUUGAAAACUAGUCAACUAACAGCGAUUAGGUUUGAAAAUACACAAUUUACCCCUUCUUGUACUUUCAAUUGAUAUCAGAGCAAGACUUAUAUUUUUCUUUUGCUUAACAGCUUGUGAGAAAAAAUCAUGCCAAAUCAAGUUAUCGUAGGAGCUCUCUUCCAGGAAAGAACUUCACAAGUUAAGCCAUCAUACUUCAGUGGACAAUAUAUUCUUCCACUGAAAAGUGCGUAUGGAGAUAUAUGCCAAGGCAUAUGACGUUAAAGUUUGGAGAGUCAUCGAAAAGGGGAAUUAUCCCCUGCCAGCUGCCGCUCAUCCACUUACUGAUCCUGAAAAUAUAGAUUCAUAUACAAACGAGCAAAUCGCAGUGGUACAAGUUAACAAUAAAGCAAGAAACCUUCUUUUUAAUGCCAUAAGUGGUGAGGAGUAUAAGAAAUUCUUAAGCUGUGACACAUCCAAAGAGAUGUGGGAAAAGCUUGAAGUUACAUACGAAUGAACCAGCAAGGUAAAGAAAACACAUUUCAACAUGUUGGUUCAUGACUGCGAACUCUUUUCAAUGAGAGAAUGAGAGUCUAUUGAAGAGAUGUUUGCCAGAUUCAACAAAAUAAUUAGCGAUCUAAAAGCCUUCGGCAAAUCAUAUACGAGUGGUGAUCAAUUUAGAAAAAUUCUCAGAAGCCUACCAACUGCUUAGUAGACCAACGUAUUCACACUUGAAUCUCAGGAUCUAAAUAAGUUAUCCUAUGAUGAACUACGACGAGAACUCAUAGCAUUUUAAAAGACACAUCUCAAGAAGACUAAUCAAGAAGAAAAAAGAAAAUAGUCACAUUCAAGGCCUCAACUGAAGUAGCUGAAAAUAAUAUCGUUGGUGAUCCUGAAGCCUUUCAAGAAGAGAUUUCUAUGCUGUCAAGAAAUAUGGUUGGUUUAAUGAGAAGAUUCAGCAAACAAGGAUAAGAAUUCCGCCUAGGCGAUCCAAGCAAUACAAAAAACAAGAGAAGAAUGAUGGAAAAUUCUAUGAGUGUGGAAGAUUUGGACACAUUCAAGCUUAGUGCCCAGAUCAAAAAUAAUUCCAGUCUUUUAGAAGUUGGAGUGAUGAAGAUAGUUCGAAACAAGAAUAGAUAGCAAAUAUUUGCUUCAUGACGAUUUUGGAAAACGAGAUGAACAAAUCCUUAGGAUGCUGGAUGGAUAAAGGCAUCUCAGAUGACGAAUGCCAAGAUAACAUUGAGAACUAUUUCAUGGCAAGAGGUGAAACAAGCGAGGUAAGAUCAUAUAACUAAGAAAGAUGCAUGAAUUGCAUGAUAUUCUUGAUUUAACUUUGAAAGAGUCUCAAAAAAUAAUUAAUAAACUUAAAAGACUAAAUAAAGAAGUAAAAGACUGGAAGCACAAACAAGAAGUAUGUAAAAUUGAAAAGAAAGUACUUCAAGAAGAGUUUGAGGAAUUGCAAAUGUAAAUCAAUGGUAUGCGCAAAUCCAUUACACAUUUCUAUCAGGUCAAACCAGGCAACUUACAAUUCCAUUGGAAAAAGACCAGUUAGAACAAAAUCCACUAGUACUAACACUAAUGAAAGACCUAAAAAUAGGCCAGAAGUUAUGUGUCACUACUACAAUAAAAGUGGACAUAAAUAUUCUUUUUUCCUCUUUCGUAAAGCAAAUGUUUCAGGAUGUGUUUGGAAAUCAAAAAACAAUUCUGAACCUAGUAAUACUAACCCCCCAGGACCCAAUCAAGCUUGGCUACCUAAAAACAAGUAAUCACUAUGUUCUGCAGGAACACCACAGAGUAAGCCGCAAAGAAAAACGAUACUUAGACAGUGCGUGUUCCAGUCAUCAAACAUCCUACCACUCCCCGGGCCAAGCUGGUCAUCACUAGAUAUAGUGGGCAGGUUCUUUCACAAAUUACCUCCUUCACGUGGAAUGUUAUAUUGAAAGGAUGGGAAAUUUGUAGUAAGGGUAUUAGACGGUCUCCUCAUUUAAACUCGAGUUUGAAUAUUUGGACCAAUAAUUGGAUUCCAAAUUGUGACAACCUCGGGGGUAAAAUUGAGGGCCCGCUGAAGCCGAAAACCUUCAACAUUAAACUAAAUGACCUGUUGUGUAAAAAUAAAUGGGACUUAAUGAAGCUUACUUUAGAUAUCCCUAAAUAUAUUGAACACAACAUCUAUAAUACAAAAAUUCGUUUGAAAAGUCCAUCGGCUGAUAUUGCCACUUGGUCACUUCCCAAAAAGGUAUAUUUACUAGAAAAGUUGUUACAAACUUAUAGAGAACUUUGAAGAAAGAGAUCACACAAAUUAUGAUUGGAUGUCUUCUCUACAUUGUCCAAACAAAAUUAAAUAUUUAUUAUGAUAAUGUAUGCAUAACAGACUUCCAUGUAGAAGUUGCCUCCCCAUAUUGGCAUUAACAUUGACAAAUUAUGCCCAAUAUCCAAUAAGGGGGAAGUGGAAACUAUAGAGUACAUCUUCUGUACAUGCUCCAUUAGUCAAGCUCUUUGGAAUAAAAUAGGAAGACUUUCUCCUCAUGAUCUUUCUAAAUGGAAUUGGCUAUCCAACAAAAAAAUACAAAAAAUAACUUUAAAACACAAUCUUCUUGGCUGGAAUAAUCUUCUACCUUUUGCUAGUUGGGACAUACGGACUACUAGAAACUCCAACAACCAAAAUAAUGCGAAAAAAUUGGUAAACGUACACCAUACUUUGCAAAGAUAUAUAGACUAUAAAUUAAUGACUACUCUUAAUCCUCUACCAACGGAAAAUAUCCAAAUCGACUACAAAUUGCAACCCUCCCCCCCCCCCCCCCNNNNNNNNNNNNNNNNNNNNNNNNNNNNNNNNNNNNNNNNNNNNNNNNNNNNNNNNNNNNNNNNNNNNNNNNNNNNNNNNNNNNNNNNNNNNNNNNNNNNNNNNNNNNNNNNNNNNNNNNNNNNNNNNNNNNNNNNNNNNNNNNNNNNNNNNNNNNNNNNNNNNNNNNNNNNNNNNNNNNNNNNNNNNNNNNNNNNNNNNNNNNNNNNNNNNNNNNNNNNNNNNNNNNNNNNNNNNNNNNNNNNNNNNNNNNNNNNNNNNNNNNNNNNNNNNNNNNNNNNNNNNNNNNNNNNNNNNNNNCCCCCCACACACACAAAGGUUGUUAUAAUCUCAAUGUGGAUGCUAGUUACAACAAUUCCAAAAGUUGUAUAGGAGGAGUUUUCCGGAAUAGCACUUGUUAAUGGAUUGUAGGCUAUACCAAAAGUAUUAGAGCAAUGGGGGGGACUAACCGCUGAACUCAAAGCUAACAAAGAAGGGUUAAAAAUGGCCACGGAAUGGAAACUUCUACCGUUCCACAUCGAAUCCAACUGUGCUGGAGCCAUUAAGGUCAUUCUUUCUGGGUAGAAUUUUAUUGACAAAAUGUUCCCACUUUCAAGUUGUUAGUGCACCAAUGGAAGGAGAAGAUCCUCUAGCUCACAUUUAGGGAGUGCAACAAAGUAUCCCACGAAUUAUCCAGGGUGGAAGGAAGUGUUGAAGUGAAGAAGAAAGUUUUUGUAAUAGCUUCUUUUGUAGUAUCAAACUUUGCUACUUAUGAUCUGGACAAGGAUCGUUAAUAUGUUAAAUACUUACUUAUGGAUGCUUGCAAUGCGUUAGCAAGCCUAGGAAAUCAAAAUGUCAUAAGUGACACUAUAUUUGGUAAUGUAACUCUAUUUAGCUUUAUUAAUACAUGCUUCCUUGUUUGCUAAAAAAAGACAAUAGGAACUUUUAUAUAUGUGAAUUCAGGAAUUAGUGAUUUGUAAAGAACCCUAGAAUGUCCAAUUCUAUUUUCUUAAGGCUUUUACGUCUUUUCCCUGCCAAGAGCCCUUUAUGGGCUUUAGUCUUAUGGUAAGCAACACCCACUUCCAACCCAAAAGUUGUGAGUUCGAGUCUCCCCAAGAGCAAGGUGGGAAGUUCUUGGAGGGAAGGAUGUCGNNNNNNNNNNNNNNNNNNNNNNNNNNNNNNNNNNNNNNNNNNNNNNNNNNNNNNNNNNNNNNNNNNNNNUUCUUGGAGGGAAGGAUGUCGGGGGUCUAUUUGGAAACAGCAUCUCUACCCCAGGGUAGGGGUAAGGUCUGUGUACACACUACUCUCCCCAGACCCCGCUAAGUGGGAUUAUACUGGGUUGUUGUUAUUGUUGAUACCCAAAUUUAUUAAUUAAUAAUAUUAAAAUUAUUAAUAUCCCCCUAAUUGUACAUUCAAUUAUUUAAGUAUAAUUUUAUUUUAUUUUUUUGCACUCUAGGCAAGAUUAAGAAAAAUUAAUUUUAUAAUUAGUAUGUCUUGAAACUUUUAUAGAUUGAGGAGCGUUACAUCGAUUUUUCAAGAAGUUGGGCUGCAUAGAAGCUAAUUGUUAGACCAAGCAUAGAACAAAAGCAAGCAAACUUGACCGAGCAAAAACAAGCAAAUUUCACAAAAGAAAUUGAAGAGGGAAGUAAGUUAUUCAUGACCCAAUCUCCUAUCAAUGAUGACCUUAAUGGAGGGUGAUUCAUGGAACGAGGUCACUGUUUAAAGUACUUGAUGAGUCCCAAAAAGGUAUGGUCCAAUGAGUGUUGAAUCUUUAGGUGAAAGUCGAUAUUUUUUUUGUUCACCGGAUGAUUAUACUCGAAUGAGUUGUGUUUAUUAUGAUUUUGUAAAAAAAUCAAUUAUUUUGAAACAAAGUUUUGCAAAUAAAUAAUUAACUUUUUGACAGCUUUCUCGCAACGCUUUCAGUUGAAAGAAAAGUAUUGGUAUCUUUUAUGGGGCCUUAAAAGCAAAUUCACGUUGCAUUCUAAUUUCAUUGCCAAUCUAGCAGAUUGCUCCAAUAAAAUUGUAACUGGCCAAACUUUGGAUCAAGUUAUAUUAGAGACCUUUUGAAGUCAUAGUAAUUCUGUCUGCCAAGUUGAUUUACUACUUGGUACACAUGCCUAGAAAAUAGACAUAGUAGCCAUUUUAAAAGGACCUUCGCUGGGGAGAUAGGAGGAAGCUCUCUCCACCCCUGUUAGUCUUCAAGCGCUGUGCUUCAUUCGGAGAAAUCUGGUAGGCGUUGGUGAGGACCUCAACAGGCAUUGCUCUAAUCACUGAUGUAUAACCAGCAAGUUGGCUGUUCAUAGGUUCACUGCUUGUCCUCCACACCACAAAUUCAAGUCCAUUCUGUCCUGCUCUCACUGUUGAGGCGAAGUACUGAGGAACCACAAACAUUUCUCCUUGGUUCACUCUGUCGUUCAUCACUUGUUGUCCGCUGUGGUCUACUACUUGCACUUGUGCCUCUCCUCUUUGCACGUACACCACGCAGUGGCCGUUCAC
rnacentral:lncRNA from 1 species